GAUGAACGCUGGCGGUAUGCUUAACACAUGCAAGUCGAACGGACUCUUCGGAGUUAGUGGCGGACGGGUGAGUAACGCGUGAGAAUCUGGCUUUGGGUUCGGGACAACCACUGGAAACGGUGGCUAAUACCGGAUGUGCCGAGAGGUAAAAGAGAAAUUGCCUGAAGAUGAGCUCGCGUCUGAUUAGCUAGUUGGUGAGGUAAAGGCUCACCAAGGCAGCGAUCAGUAGCUGGUCUGAGAGGAUGACCAGCCACACUGGGACUGAGACACGGCCGAGACUCCUACGGGGGGCAGCAGUGGGGAAUUUUCCGCAAGGCGCGAGAGCCUGACGGAGCAGUCCCGCGUGAGGGAAGAAGGCUCUUGGGUUGUAAACCUCUUUUCUUAGGGAAGAACAAAAUGACGGUACCUAAGGAAUCAGCAUCGGCUAACUCCGUG
rnacentral:rRNA from 1 species